AGACCAACAUCCUCAACUGUGAGCUUCUUUAUAAGCAGAGAACAGUUCGCUGUAACACUCAGUCUGUCUGAUUUAGUUUUGGCUUUUUCACCAAUCUGUCCAAGUGUGAUCAGCUCUACUGUUGUUUCUUUGUUUCUUGGAGUAAAGACCCACGUAGUACCAUCACAGUUAUUCUGCUCAUCUAUCACAUUUAGACAAGGCAGAGUGACGUCAUCUCCAACUUUCAUAAACAUGGAGGCUUCAGUUACAGAUACUGUUGAGAAGAUAAAGAUAAAUUAGAAUACAACAGUUUUUACAAUCAGAGUGAAAAUCAUUUUAGACACUAGUUUAUAAAUAUGUCCCAUGCUCCCCUAAAACAACAGAGCAUGCUCAGCUCUCUUAUUUACUGUAAAGGUUAUUGAUUGUAAUGAUAUUGAAAAUAUUUAGUUUUACUGCUCAUAAAAUGUUUCUUGUAUUCUUACCUGCAAUCUGAAUCAUCAGACAUAAAAACAUUUGAAUCCAUCUGAAUUCAUCCAUCGUGCUUCUCUGUCUCACUUCUUUCUUGUUCUCAAUCUCGACUGUCACAGUCUCUGAACUGAUGACACUUUAAGACUGUUUGUACUUCCUUUCAUCAGUGAGAUGUCACUUCCUCACCACAACUUUAGAGAUCCAGUUGUUAUUUUUGCUGAUGAUAAUGUUUCAAAGGUUAAGUAUGUCAGCUUUUCAUAUCUCUGAAAUUCAUGAAUGUUUUUAUAAACAUAAAUUACACUAAUGAGAAAUCAAAUUCAGCAGUUGUCUACUGCAUUUGUGAGAGACUGACAAUGAUUUAAAUAAAGAGAGAUUGUUAGGAUGAUUUGAAAAUGAUCAACUGAUCUAAGGAGCUUGGAAAGAAAAGCAUCUGGACUUCUUUGAGUUGCUUGAAGAUGUUUCACCUCUCAUCCGAGAAGCUUCUUCAGUUCUGAGGUCAAAUGGCCGAGAGUCCCAGAUUUAAGCUCUGUGGGAGUUUCCCCCCCAAGAGGGUCAUGAACCCCCUGAUGAUCCUCUACCUAAUCACGUGAGCCAAGUUGUGAAAACGGGUGUGGGUCACAAUCAGCCAAGGUUUCGGGAGAGCUCAUAGUGAAACCUAGCCCCACCCUAUCAUGUGAUUUCCUGAGGUCAGAUGGCCCAGGAUGUGAGUGGGUGUUAAGGCGUCUGGGAAGGGUUCUCAAAACUGGAUUAUAGAUGGCAGACAGUUGGUGUCGUAA
rnacentral:lncRNA from 1 species